CCUUGGGAUCCAGGUCUUCCCGAUCCUGAUCCUGAUCCUCCUUGGGAUCCAGGUCCUCCUGAUCCCAAUCCUCCUUGGGAUCCAGGUCUCCCUGAUCCCGAUCCUCCUUGGGAUCCAGGUCUUCCCGAUCCUGAUCCCGAUCCUCCUUGGGAUCCAGGUCUUCCAGAUCCUGAUCCACUUCCCCCUUGGGAUCCAGGUCUUCCCGAUCCCGACCCACUUCCCCCUUGAGGUCUCUCCAAUCCAUAGGGCAGAAGUCCAUAGGAUCCUGGUGGCCCACCAGAUCCCGGCGAGACGAAAGAUCCCGAUCCAUCCCCUUGGGAUCCCGGUCGACUUCCGUAGUAUCCCGGUUUGCCUCCACUGGAUUCCGGUGACACAUAGGAUCCCGAUCCGCUUCCUCGUCCCGGGGACGCUCCCGAUCCGCCCCCAUAGGAUCCCGGUCCACCGUAGGAUCCUGAUCCACUGCUAUGGGAUCCCGAUCCACUGUAGGAUCCCGGUCUGGCCCCAUAGGAUCCUGAGCUGCUCCCGUAGGAUCCCGAUCCACCCCCAUAGGAUUCCUGUCUGCCAUAGGAUCCUGAUCCGCCCCCAUAGGAUCCCGAUCCGGCCCCAUAGGAUCCCGAGCUGCUCCCAUAGGAUCCAGGGUGGCCUCCGGAGGGUCCCCCUGUGUCCCCCCACCCCGACUGGGGGCUGAGGAAUCCCGCGGGUUCCUUGCAUGGAUCCACCCCGGCCAUCAGCGGGCUCAGGCGGGAUCCUGAGUCGCAGUCAGAGGCAGCACCUGGAGAGGUGGGGGGGGAAAGGGGGGGAGUCCAUCCCAGUCCAUCCCAGUUCAUCCCAGUCCAUCUCAUUUCAUCCCAGUUCAUCCCAGUCCAUCCCACUUCAUCCUCAUUCACCCCAGUCCAUCCCAGCCCAUCCCAUUCCAUCCCAUUUCAUUCCAGUCCAUCCCAUUUCAUCCCCGUUCAACCCAGUCCAUCCCAUUUCAUCCCAGUCCAUCCCAUUCCAUCCCAUUUCAUUCCAGUCCAUCCCAGCCCAUCCCAUUUCACUCCACUCCAUCCCAGUUUGUCCCAAUCUACCCCAGUUCAUCCCAGUUUCUCCCAGUUUAUCCCAGCCCAUCCCAGUUCAUUCCAGUGUCCAUUCCACUUCAUCCCAGUCAAUCCCAUUUCAUCCCAGUCCGUCCCAUUUCAUCCCAGUGUCCAUCUCAUUCCAUCCCAGUCCAUCCCAAUCCAUCCCAGUUUGUCCCAUUUUAUUCCAGCUCAUCCCAGUCCAUCUCUGUUUAUCCCAGUCCACCCCAAUCCAUCCCAGUUUAUCCCAGUCUCCAUCCCACUUCUUCCUGGCCCCUCCCAGUCCCCUCCCAGCCCCUCCCAGUCCCCUCCCCAGUCCAUCCCACCUCUUCCUGGCUGCACCCAGCUCAUCCCAGUCCUUCCCAGUCCUCCCCCAGUCCAUCCCAGUCCCUCCCAUUCCCCACCCCGGUCCCUCCCAGUCUCUCCCAGUGCCCCCCAGUGCCUCCCCACCUGCCAGCCGCCCGCACAGCAGCAGGAGGACCCCGAGGGCCGACGGCAGCCGGGGAGCGGCCAUUGCCGGGGACAUCGGGGACAUCGGGGACACAGCGGGGACAGAGGGGACAGACCUUAAAUAGGGACCGGGACGGGUGGGGCGGCCCGGUGCCACCGUCUGGGGAGGGGACAUCGGGGACACGGGGACGGCCCCGCCUCGCUAAACCCUGAGUCACCACAUUGACCCGCUUGGGACAGGGCAGGGUCACCCGUGUCACCCUUGGGGACAGCUCAAUGUCACCGAGUGCCCACGUCUCGGUUGGAGACGGCACGGGGCCACCACGUGUCC
ensembl:lncRNA